UAUUAGAAAGCGAAAUUUACCGCAUUUAGUUUCGACCUAAACUUUGGCUUGUAGGCCUCUAAUAA
rnacentral:tRNA from 2 species